CUUUAAUGCGCCCUCUUCACCUAUAUUAUGGAAUAACGUUUUUGUAUCACACAGUUUGCUAGUCGUGCGAAUGGUGAAAUCGCCGUUCUCUUGUCAGGAUCUAAUGCCGAUGGCGCUUAUCGCAACACAAGUACCUUUGCAAGAAUUGAGUUACCAAAUCUAAACCCGGAAACAAUCAGUAAUGUCCGUAUCAUUGUUUCACAUGACAUUGGGACAACAAGUCCAAAGCAUGAGACCUGCAAUGAUGGUUCGUUGCUUACUCUGAAGGCAGACUUGGACAAGCGUGAAAUUAAAUACACGUGUGAAGAGGAUGAAUAGUAAGUGAUAGCGAUGUGCAUAUAUAGAGACACACAUGCUUAAAGAAGAAUGAUGCAAUUUUACGAAAGCCUAUUCGUGCCACUUAAGUAUAUAAAAUUAUCAAAAUGUAAUCCGAAAUAAAGGAUUAGUAAU